CAGUUCAAAGCAGAUAUUGUGGGAUUUCCUGCCUUGAUCUUCUGGGUUAUAGGACUGUGUGGAAGGGCCCCAGGACACGAGUGCUUUCAAGUCGCCUGUCGGGUUUUAAUAGGGUUUGUCUCAGGCAAGGAGCACUGUAGCCCCUUCCACACAGCUGUAUAAAAUUUCUCAUUUUCUGCUUUGGACUGCACUAUAUGGCAGUGUGGACUCAGAUAACCAAGGGCCCUUCCACACAGCCAUAUAACCCAGAUUCUAUGAUAUGAUCUUCUGGGUUAUAUGGCUGUGUGGAAGGCAGAGAUCAAGGCAGAAAAUCCCACAAUAUCUGCUUUGAACUGGGUUACCUGAGUCCACAGUUCAAAGCAGAAAAUGUGGGAUUUUCUACCUUGAUAUUCUGGGUUAUAUGCCUGUGUGGAAGGGCCCUGAAGCCCCUUCCACACAGCUGUAUGUUGUUCAUAAGUUCAGUCGCUUCCGACUCUUCAUGAUCUGGACCAGCCCUGGGUUAUCUGAGUCCACACUGCCAGAUAUUCCAGUCCAAAGUAGAUAAUGUGGGAUUUUAUACAGCGGUGUAGAAGGGGCCUCAGAUAUUCCAGUUAAAAGCUGAUAGGAAUUGUGGGUGUUGCAGUCCAAAACACCUGGAGUGCCAAAGUUUGCCCAUGCCUGGACUAGAACAAAACAUCACAAGGCAAUUAUAAAGUUAAUAUUUAUUGCUCCCAUGACUGCCGCUGCUGAAAAUCCUGGCACUUUCAGCUUCUACAUUCAGUGCACAUUGUCCUUUGCACUUUAGCAGCUCCCGAGGCCCUGGUGUGAGGCGGAACACAACCGGAAUCUGGCGCAAAAUUGGGUUAGUCUCCUGAAGGCCGACAAUCCACUUCGCCAAGGUAGCCUGGUCUCCUGCCCCUGCCAUACACAUGGCAAAUACAGGGCCCUCCUCAACUAAAAGAGGAAGAAGCAACAUUGUUUUCAGAUCAAAAAACCCAAAUCCAAACCCAACCCACAGAACAAAACUAAAAAAUAGCCCAACAAGAAUCACAUUAAAGAGCCUGCCUAUAUCACAAGCCAAGAGAAGCUCCACUCAACAAUCAGAAGUCAUCGCACAACUAUUCUAAAGACAGUUCUUUACUCCAUCAUUGUGAUUUUUUUUAAAAAAAAAAACAGUUCAGAUCAUUUUUCUCUUGCCAUGUCUUCUUUCAGAUGAUCUCUGUCUUGCUAUGAGAUUUUGAGCAGAAUUUGAUUCUUGAGACCCCCAUUUUUUUUUUAAAUAAAGGUUCUUAUGGAUGAGCAGGCAUGCAACUUCUACAGAACACUGCUCAACAGAAGUAGUCUUCAUGGACAUGUAAUAAAGUAGACCUACAAACCAGAAACUGUUGGAAAAAUGUCUUCUUGUACAGCUUAAGUCUCUACGGUUAGAUAGGAAGCCUAGAAAACAGGGACACCUUCCCCAGUUCCAUGCAUGCUUUGAUUAGGCUUUACUAUUGUUUCCUACCUCAUGUCCUGUUUAGGUCAACCCACCCCAUUGAUGCUUUAGAAAUGUGAUCUCUCCUAGGGCUUUGAUGUAACUUCCCCAAUUGGGCCUUUGGAAUGUUUAUGGCUCUAGAGAAGAAGCGACCUACGAGGCUUGGUCGCCAUUCCUGCUUCCUGCUUUGUUCCAGAGAGAGGACGCACUCUGUCCGCUCUUAUACUCAAGAUGUAGCUAUCGAUACCUUUGUUAUUUUGAUCCGUCUAUGUGUAUUAGAACAGGAUAGAUUAGCUAGUUAGCUCCAAACCUUUUCUAUCCAUUAAUGGAUUUCUUUUUACCUCAAUAAAUGCUUUUAAACUUUAAA